GGUGAUAUGUCAGCUAUCCUGUUGCUGUUACAUCUCCUGCCCCCUACAUCAAGAGGCCAGAAAAAAAUGGCUGAGAUGAGCUCAGCGCAAGUGGCAGACCACCUUUUAAGAUUUGUUAAGGAAGGAGCCAGCAUCACUACUUUUCUUGAGAAAGUGGAUCAAAGACAGCCCUUCCUCCUUUGCAUUGGUCAAGAAAAGAAGACUAUCCAAAGGUUCUUCAUCAUUGUGGACCAAAAGUCAAUCCCAUGCAAGGCUCAGACAUCAGUGGCUGCUUUUGAUGAGCUAUUCAAAGCUCACUUCAUCUUGAGUCUCUCCUAUGAUGAAGAAACCCCACGGGUCAAGGAACUUAGAGCAAGACUACUGCGAGAGCGCUGAUGUGCCAUCUGUUUUGACAGGUCAGAAAACAGUUAAAACAUUCAGGUAUGUUCAUAUGUUUUGUUUCUAAAGUGCACCACAAAAAUUGUUCAGUUCUCUGACAGCAUUUAAAAUUUUUAGCAUGGUUUAUAUCCUGCCAAAACCUUGCGUUUAAAAUGCGGAGAGCAAGGAUGUACAUCAUCUUUUUGUACAUACAGUGGCUUCAGAAAGCACGUUAACGAUGCUCAUAGGCAAUUCCAUGAUCAACAAGUUGAUAUUAAUCAAGAAACAGCAUCACAAAGACAAUUUGAGAUUGAAAUUUCAAGUGAUCAGGCAACAACUUCUCACUCCAUGUUGCAGGUCCCACCUGUAUCCUCCCAUAAGGUGGUUGAUAAAAGUGACAUCUCAUCAAUGUGUGGGUCAAUUGUUGCACAUUUACAAGCCUCUGGUCUUUCUGAAAGCACUGUACAAACAAUAGUUUGUUCAAUGGAGGAAGUUAUUUGUGAUGUUCAGAGCCAAGCAAGAGAAACGGUUCUCCAGACAUUUUCUCCUGAAUAUAAGGGUUCAGACAUUUAUCAAAAAAUAGAGCAAAAUUUAAAUCAACUAGACAAUCCUUCACAAAACUUCACAUUGAACAUUGCAGUGCACCAAGCGAGAUCCUGCUCUACCAGCUGUUUACGGUAUUAAAAAACCUUGUGUGCUAAAUUCAUUAGAAUAUUAUUACAGCACUGAUAACUAUGCUGUUGAUAUAAAGCAUGAUUUGCUAGAGGGGGUCGUACAGUAUGAGCUUAAGCUGUUUUUUCAGUACCUUUUAAAAAAACCUUUCUUUGAACAUUUUGUCAGAGAGGAUACAGAGCUUUAAUUAUGGUUAUACAGAAUGUAAAAACAAACCAGGUGGGUUAAAAAUGGACGACAACACAAAGCACUUAGGUUUAAAUGCCAUUCAGUCAUGGUGUGUUUUGCGCAAUACGCCUCUUAUAUUUGGUGAUAUAGUUGAAAGGGGAAAUAGUUACUGGAACCUUGUUCUUCUUUUGUUGCAGAUUGUUAAUAUUGUGUUCUCCCCAAUCCUUACUGAUGGCAUGAUAUGUUACUUGAAACAUCUGAUUUGUGACCACCAUAAGAUAUUCAAGUCCUUGUAUCCUGAUAGAAAUUUGAUUCCCAAACACUAUUUGAUGAUUCACUAUCCAAGAUGUAUUAGGAAAAAUUGGUCCUCUUUUUCAUAUGUGGUGUAUGAGAUUCGAAGGAAAACAUAAUUUCUUUAAAAAAUCUAUUAAAAACUUCAAAAACUUAACUAAAUCUUUAGUGAAGCAACACCAGCAUCAAAUGGCAUUUUCCUAUGAAAAUUACUAUUUUAAGAGAUUUGAAUUUGGUCCUAUAAAAAUUAAAACACUUGAUGGCUUAAAAGGUGGAGAAGGGUUGAGUCAGUUACUAUAUAUGGACACAUCUUCAGAUGUUUCAACAACCAGCUGGGUGAACUGAGUAUCAUGUAGAUUUGUUCAUUUGCACUGGCACAUCCAGUGACCUACCAGUUUUCAAAAAGAUCUGCAACAUUGUAAUAUAUGAACAGCAUGCUUUUCAUAUAUUGUGCUGUUAAUACAGUGUAUUUUGAUGACCACUUUCAUGCAUUUUGUAUAGAGGAGAAAAAUAAUGAACAUGAUGUCAUCUGUGUAAAGUUGACUUAUUUUAGACCCUUUGAUAAACAAUACUCUAAUGACAGCGAGGUAGCAUACAUUGUUCCAUACUGUUACAUGUUUUAACAGUAUAUUUUAAAAAGUUAAUGUGGUGCAGAGUUUUAAAAAUAAAUGUUUUAACCUUA